rnacentral:rRNA from 1 species
GAUGAACGCUGGCGGCGUGCUUAAUACAUGCAAGUCGAACGGAGACUGUAGCAAUACUGUCUUAGUGGCGAACGGGUGAGUAACGCGUUGGUGACCUACCCCGAAGAGGGGGAUAACAGUCCGAAAGGAUUGCUAAUACCCCAUGUGGUCGUUUGGAUUAGAUGCCUUAUGACUAAACGGAUUUAUUCGCUUCGGGAGGGGCCUGCGUCCCAUCAGCUAGUUGGUGAGGUAAUAGCUUACCAAGGCGAUGACGGGCAGGGGACCUGAGAGGGUGGCCCACCACAAUGGAACUGAAACACGGUCCAUACACCUACGGGUGGCAGCAGUAGGGAAUAUUGGUAAUCUGGGAAACCGGGAACCAGCAACGCCGCGUGCGCGAUGACGGCCUUCGGGUUGUAAAGCGCUUUUUAAAGGGAUGAGGAAGGACAGUACCUUUAGAAUAAGCCUCGGCUAACUACGUGCCAGCAGCCGCAGUAAGAC